rnacentral:ncRNA from 1 species
GGGUCUGGGUUGUAAUAUCCAGAGGUAAUCUUUAGAUGGUCGGGCCGCCAUCU